rnacentral:rRNA from 1 species
UAAGACGAUGGGGGCUAGCGUUGUUCGGAAUUACUGGGCGUAAAGCGAGUGUAGGUGGUUUUCCAAGUUGGAUGUGAAAGCCUUGAGCUCAACUCAAGAAAUGCAUUCAGGACUGGGAGACUAGAGGACCGGAGAGGAUAGUGGAAUUCCCAGUGUAGUGGUGAAAUACGUAGAGAUUGGGAAGAACACCAGUGGCGAAGGCGGCUAUCUGGACGGUUUCUGACACUAAGACUCGAAAGCGUGGGGAGCAAACAG